GCACUAGUGAUUUCUGGUUGAUCCUGGUAAAAGACGAACGCUGGCGGCGUGCUUAACACAUGCAAGUCGAACGAGGUUUAUUGGAGAGCUUGCUCGAAGGUAGACCGAGUGGCGGACGGGUGAGUAACGCGUGAACAAUCUGUCUCAUACAGGGGGAUAACGCAUCGAAAGAUGUGCUAAUACCGCGUAGGACCACGGCAUCGCAUGGUGCUGAGGUGAAAGGAGCAAUCCGGUAUGAGGUGAGUUCGCGUCUGAUUAGAUAGUUGGUGAGGUAACGGCUCACCAAGUCAACGAUCAGUAGCCGACCUGAGAGGGUGAUCGGCCACAUUGGGACUGAGACACGGCCCAGACUCCUACGGGAGGCAGCAGUGGGGAAUAUUGGGCAAUGGGCGAAAGCCUGACCCAGCAACGCCGCGUGAAGGAAGAAGGUUUUCGGAUCGUAAACUUCUGUCCUUGGUGAAGAUAAUGACGGUAGCCAAGGAGGAAGCCCCGGCUAACUACGUGCCAGCAGCCGCGGUAAUACGUAGGGGGCGAGCGUUGUCCGGAAUGAUUGGGCGUAAAGGGCGCGUAGGCGGCCCGUUAAGUCUGGAGUGAAAGUCCUGUUUUCAAGAUGGGAAUUGCUUUGGGAUACU
rnacentral:rRNA from 1 species